GACGAACGCUGGCGGCGUGCUUAACACAUGCAAGUCGAACGAAGUGGCGAACGGGUGAGUAACGCGUAAUCAACCUGCCCUUCAGAGGGGGACAACAGUUGGAAACGACUGCUAAUACCGCAUACUGAAGGAGGGGAUUGCGUCGGAUUAGCUAGUUGGAGGGGUAACGGCCCACCGAGGCGACGAUCAGGAGCCGGGCGGAGAGGAUGAACGGCCCACGUGGGACUGGGGAACGGCCCAGACUCCUUCGGGGGGCAGCAGUGGGGAAACUUCCGCAAUGGAGGAAAGUCUGACGGAGCAACGGCGGGUGAGUGAUGACGGCCUUCGGGUUGUAAAGCUCCGUUAAUCGGGACGCGGUACCGGAAUAGAAAGCCCCGGCUAACUACGUGCCAGCAGCCGCGGUAAUUC
rnacentral:rRNA from 1 species